rnacentral:lncRNA from 1 species
CCAGACUCUGACUUGAAAGUGUCUUCCAAGUUGAUUGGUGUAUGGUGUCGAUCUACAUUUUUAGCCAUUAAAUGCAAUCUGGCAUAUAAUUUUAAUUUCACUAGGCCAAAUGUGAUCACGUGGGUCGAAACUGCUGUCCAUUUUGUCGAAAUGUCGGCCAUUGUUAGCUGUACGUCUCAUCUCGUGCAGAAACACUUCAGAGCUAUUGAUUUUCAGGUCGGAAAUGGAGAUCCCUUUGCUCAACUGUUGCAGAAAUUUAGAAAACGACAAAGUCUGAGCUUCAUGGCUGUAGUAUCAUUAAUGUGGUUUUGUUGCAGCCAACUGGUGAAAGGUGUGAUCGAGUCAUGGUUGAGUUGCAGCUUCUGCAUGCAGUUUAUCGAGCUGGUGCUAUACCAAGUGUAACUGCUGGAAAACUUCUUGAAUUGCCAGGUGAAGUCUGCGCUUCUUUGUUGCAGUCUAAUGUGUGCAUGGAUUCGUUGCAGUCAUCCAGUGAAAGGUGUGAUUAAAUUGAGCUGUUGCAUGCAGUCUUUGGUGCUGAUGUUGUCCUGGAGUGUGGGAGAGUCCCAUGCUUCAAGUCUUCUGGGAUCAGCUAUAUCUGAGUUGACGCUGGAUCAUGCUGCAUUGUGGUUGCUGAAAUGUUGGACAUCUAGUAGAACUGCAAGAAGACUCCUUGAAAUGGUUUAUGUUUACGUAGCAGUGAUGUUGCUGUCCAAUAUGCAUGUUGUUGCAGCCUAUACUG